GAAGCUAUAUGAUUUUUCCGUUGGCUUGAUUCCUUUCAACGUCUAAUCUUUCAGGCCACACUAUAAUUUGAACCCGGAAAUCAUUUCCGUCAAUGGACAGACAUUAGGCAUAGAUUCAUCAGUUUUUGCCACGUCAAGUAACAAAGGAACCAUUGUCGAUUCUCGAACAACCUUGACAUACGUAGCUGAAGAAGCCUUUGAUCCUUUUGUUAGUGGUGUAAAUCACGAAAGAGCAAUUCAUUAAAUGUUUGUUCGGCGAUCUAUUGUAGCUGCUUGGCUUCGGAUUAGAUGAUAAAACUUCUCGGUGCUUAUAUUCUUGACUACCUUUCUUCAGGUAUCUUUUCUCUUCUUUUGCAUUUUUUCCAGAUUACAUUGUAGUUGGAGAUACAAUUUGGUUUGUGAUUCUAGAUUUUAUUUUCCUGGUGUGGAACAUGUAAUUUGGAAACGCAUUGUUCGUCUAUCUUUUAUUGAUAGUUGUGUCAUCGUCGAAAAUAUUUGUUACGAGAAAUAUUGAAUGCCUCUUCAACUUUUUUCCUUCUUCCUCAAA